rnacentral:rRNA from 12 species
CGUGAGACAGUUCGGUCCCUAUCUUCCGUGGGUGUAGGAUACUUGAGAGGAGUUGCCCCUAGUACGAGAGGACCGGGGUGAACGAUCCACUGGUGGACCUGUUGUUGCGCCAGCAGCAGUGCAGGGUAGCUAUGAUCGGAAAGGAUAACCGCUGAAGGCAUCUAAGCGGGAAGCCCCCCUCAAAACAAGGUAUCCCUGAGGGCCGAGGUAGACCACCUCGUCGAUAGGCCAGAGAUGUAAGCACAGCAAUGUGUUCAGUUGACUGGUACUAAUUGCCCGAUAG